ACUCGGCCACACAGUACAUAAUUGUUGAGUUGAAAAAAAAUACCAAUUUUAGGAUGAGCUGCAUUAACAAGGUAAAAGUUACAAUGUAAAGUAGAUUCUUAACUUUACACAAGAGACUUCCUUGCAACCAACAUAUGACAAAAAUUAUCACACUAAGACUGAAAAUCAGAGCAUGGAAAGGAACAACAGAAAACAAGUCUUCAUAAAAUCAUACAUAACACCAUUGCUGGCUGCACUUCUCCACUCUAAUAUUCCUAACAUAGGUUAGAAUAUGAUAGACUUUAACCAAGGGGACCUGGUCAAGCCUCUUUAUCCUCGGAUUACCUCCCGGGGAGCAGCCUAUUAAGCUUUGCCAUAAUUGAACUCACAUCUCGACACUAGAUGCAAGUUAUCGCGAAAAACAGCACUUGGCAGACAACACAUAUUGCUCUCCAUCACAUUUAUAAGAAGUAAUCAGGGGUCCUUCGAGUUACAUCCGGUUCUCCCCUUCUUGGAGCUGGAUCAAACUGGAUAAAUGUGUGCCCUCUGCAGUCAUCAACUUCCAAAAUAGAGGCCAUGUUUCCACAUCUAUAACAAUAAUUUGGUGCACUAAAAAUAGUGACAACUUUUUGUUCAUGGCUCCAGUUAUAUCCCUCCAUAACCAGCUGAUGAGCUCGAGCAAUCAGCUUUAGAUUAUUGGUAUGGUGAAAUUGCUCAGAUAUGUCCUGCCCAAAAGUGUAUCCAGCACCCCGGGGUGACAUACCCCAACCACAACGAUCAUCUGGGUCUGACCACAAAAGAUCACACAUGGCCCCUUCAUGA
rnacentral:misc_RNA from 1 species